AAUUGAGAUAGUUUUUCUAUCUCUAGAUUACUUCUGGGGAGUUUAAAUGAUUGUAGACUUAUAAUUCUCUGCAUCUAGCAUAUUUUAUGGAAUUGGUACGAAACCUAGCUGUUUGUAUGGCAGGUUUGACUAUGGAGCUCUACAUAAAAUAUGAUUGCGAUCUUUACUACCAAUCUAUUCGAAAACUUGACAAAGUUACCGAUUAAUUGUUUCCUGGUGAGAUAUGAGAAAAGUGUGGGUAGAACAGCCCAGGAAUAUGACCAGUAGAUCAACCAAAAUUUUAUCUGUCCAUAAGCAAUCGCCAUCGAUAGGAUAUUUCGCUUGACAUCCUGUUCCAGAAUGCUCUAAAUGUAAAUGUGUUAAAAUACGGAUGGAUUUUCUUAAGUAUUACUCGCGAAACUUCUAUACCGUUGUGAAGUUAUU